GUAGCCUAUAGCCUAGUGGCUAAGGUACAUGACUGGGACCCCUGAGGUUGGCGGUUCAAGUCCCAGUCCAGCCACA
rnacentral:tRNA from 1 species